rnacentral:rRNA from 1 species
AUUGAACGCUGGCGGCAGGCCUAACACAUGCAAGUCGAACGAGUGGCGGACGGGUGAGUAAUGUCUGGGAAACUGCCUGAUGGAGGGGGAUAACUACUGGAAACGGUAGCUAAUACCGCAUACCAUCAGAUGUGCCCAUAUGGGAUUAGCUUGUGGGUGGGGUAACGGCGCACCAAGGCGACGAUCCCUAGCUGGUCUGAGAGGAUGACCAGCCACACGGGGACUGAGACACGGCCCAGACUCCUACGGGAGGCAGCAGUGGGGAAUAUUGCACAAUGGGCGCAAGCCUGAUGCAGCCAUGCCGCGUGUAUGAAGAAGGCCUUCGGGUUGUAAAGUACUUUCAGCGGGGAGGCGUUACCCGCAGAAGAAGCACCGGCUAACUCCGUGCCAGCAGCCGCGGUAAUUC